rnacentral:rRNA from 1 species
GACGAACGCUGGCGGCGUGCCUAAUACAUGCAAGUAGAACGCUGAAGGAGGAGCUUGCUUCUCUGGAUGAGUUGCGAACGGGUGAGUAACGCGUAGGUAACCUGCCUGGUAGCGGGGGAUAACUAUUGGAAACGAUAGCUAAUACCGCAUAAUAGUAGAUGUUGCAUGACAUUUGCUUAAAAGGUGCAAUUGCAUCACUACCAGAUGGACCUGCGUUGUAUUAGCUAGUUGGUGGGGUAACGGCUCACCAAGGCGACGAUACAUAGCCGACCUGAGAGGGUGAUCGGCCACACUGGGACUGAGACACGGCCCAGACUCCUACGGGAGGCAGCAGUAGGGAAUCGGCGGCAAGGGACGGAAGUCUGACCGAGCAACGCCGCGUGAGUGAAGAAGGUUUUCGGAUCGUAAAGCUCGGUUGUAAGAGAAGAACGAGUGUGAGAGUGGAAAGUUCACACUGUGACGGUAUCUUAUCAGAAAGGGACGGCUAACUACGUG